UAUGGUCAUACCACCGUGAACAUGCCUGAUGUCCUCUGGUCUCACAAGCUAAGCAGGGUCGGACCUGGUUAGUACUUGGAUGGGAGAAACACAAAUGGCAAACAAAU
rnacentral:rRNA from 1 species